rfam:Gossypium arboreum cultivar AKA8401 contig_11274_3, whole genome shotgun sequence.
AAUAAGAGAAUGACAAAUCAGAUUUUUCUUCCUAAUUUUUUAGCUUUCUCCCCAUGAAAAAAUUUAAAUCCAACUAAAAAUGUUAAAAAUUAAGAGGAAAAAUCUGAUUUAUCAUUCUCCUAUU